GUGGGAUCAGAUGUAUGGCCUCUUAAGAUAGUUGACAAAGCAAUCAGUUUCGUGAUGAAUACCCACGAUUCCAACUUACGUCUAAUUGUAUAACCCCCACAUGUCCCUGCAACUGGAUGCAGAAUCCGGUAAAUAAGCCUCCAAUGCGGAUAUCUUCGAUUUUCUUUCAUGUAUUUGCUUAGUAGCAGAUAUAAACAUCUUACCUGGAAACCAACUUUACAAGAAUGCAGAUUACACUGAGUAGUAGGAGAGGAACUCUCUCGUAUAUUGCGUGGCGUAAAUGGGUCUGCCAUUCUGAGUUGGGAGCAACAAAACCAGCCUCCUUUAAUAUUUGCC
rnacentral:lncRNA from 1 species